AUUAUCUCUCCAGUUUCAGGGUUAAAUAUUUGAGAUAUCACAAAAUAAACUUUUCAAAUCAAUGGGAAGGUGGAAGCAUUUUUAUGUUCCAACAUGGGGCUCGGUGAAGUUACAGAUAAAAAAAUGAUAUAUUUUUGUCGUCUUCUGGAUAGUAAACUAUUGUGCAGCACAAUAAAAUCGACGGAACAGUGCAUUUUUAUGAGAAAUACACGAGAAAUAAUGACGCUUGUUGAUAAAUGUUUCCGGUGUGCGGUAGAAUGCGACAUUCCGACAACGCUUUCGUGAGACUUCGGUACUCUUCGCCUCCCCUCCACAACGGCAAACUUCGGCUCACCGUGACCCGAUGAUUAAUUCCGUUGCGUGAAAUUGAGAUUUGUAUCCAAUCACCCAUUUAGGCCAUCUUUCGUAUUAUGUAAUUUUAGACAUAAUCUCAAGAUAAUCCAUUUUGAUUUUAAACAAACCAUUUACGUUAUUUACAAUCUAGAAGAUAUUUUCUUGAUCAUUGAAAGUCUAAAUUUGUGCAAUAAUUCAUCACCAGUUGUGGCUGUUUGCGGUGAAAUUUUCGCAUCAUUUGUUUGUGUCGCAUGUGUAUUGGGCUGGUUGGUUUCGAUGACCACAACUUAAAGGAUCUGUUGCUUCAGCCGUUUGACGUCGAUUUACGAUACCGAUAUAGAAGUUUUCCUGAGCCGAUAAAGAAAGUUGACUCGACCGCAUAGUAAUAUUUCUCAGCCCUGCAGUUUGCACCGAGAGUGUAAGGCACCGAAGUAAUUUUCAUUUGAAAUCGCACUAUAAAAAUUCACAAAUUGUCCCUGUGGGAUAAUUCCAGAGACCUGUCAUCUAAGAUGGCAGACGUUAUGAGCGAUCACGUUUCUUUCAGAUCUUGGACAUCAACAAAUCGAAAUCCCAGCCCAGUGGGACAACAAGGUUCUUGCAAAUUUUCGAAGUUGGCUUAGGAGAAUAUAACCCAGGCUUCCUGACUCACAUCAUCGUCCAGACACAUCUUCGAUUGACUGAAUCUUUCAUCAAUCAAGGACCAAUUAAGAAAUUCGGAGAAGCCGAGUCGACGUGGAUUCCUACGCUAUCAUCGAAUAAAAUGUUCUCCACUUUUCAAAAACUCACGUUUCUAAUGGUUUUCUAGUCGCUUCUCCUUUUAUCAAACUUGCAUUCAUUGAGAACGUGCAAGCCACUCAAUGUGUCACUGUAAUUACUGAAGUACUGAAUAAUCCGCUAGCACUAAAGUCAGUGAUGAAUGCGUUCAGCCGUGGAGGAAUAACUAUUAGAGUAUCACUCUAACAGACUAUGGGACAAGUGAGUGAACCUUCGCAUACACGGACAAAAAUUUUGUAUAGAAAAAUUCUAGUGUUAGUAUGAAAAGAGAGGAGCGGACUUUGAUUGUCCGAAUCAUAAUUAUUCAUUUGUAUUUCUAUGAAAAUCUCACAGAGGCUCCCAACAGUUUUACUAGGAAUUCCGAAAAAUUCCGGACUCCUUGUAAAACUCAUUCACAAUGCUUUAAACAUUUGGAGACAUUAACAUCAAUGAAGCAAGGUUGGAUAGAUCUGUAGUAUUGGCAAUUUAUUCUUAGAGCUUAAUGAUUGUAUUUUAGAGUAGGAUUAAGAAUCGCGGGAUGAAGUUCUCCCUAGUGUAGCUAUAAGAUUUUAUUGUAGACGUAGAAAUAGGUGCUAUUUGCAUAGAUGGUACAGGGAUUCGAGCACGUACGAUAAGAGUACCUUGACAGCCAUAUUUUGUGGGUUUAUGAGCAGCCCUCAGAUGUAACAGGGGAACGUCGUUUCCAGCCAGCGAGGUCCAGAGCCGCUUGGACCACGUGACUCUAGAGUUCAGUAGAAGGUAGUUAGAGGUCAGAGUAGAAGGUAGUCAGCGUGAAGAUCUGAUAGUUAGAGCGUAGACGAGGUGUGGAACGAGUGCCACCCUAAGUGUUUUGUAAGUGUUGGAAAUCCGCCUAAAUUCUGGACCCUUCCUUCCCCCGCGGCGACUCGCCGAUCGUAUGGCCCCUGGAUCAUAACAAUCCAGUGUUACCAGGUGCCUAACUCAAAUAUUUGACGGUUGAGGCGCCACUUCCUGGACGUCUCAAUCCCGGAAAUACGUGCUAAACGUUGUGGAAUAGAUCACGUGGUGAGAAUUAGGCCAAUUGUCGCUCGUGACCUCACUCAUCGAUCUCUCUCCAUGUGGAUCUCUCAAAGUGAACAUCGCUGUGCGUGAUCUCGCAGUGUUCUUUUUAUUCAGUAUAUUCUCAGGGUUUUUCUCAUACACAUAUUAACUCAUCGUGACCGCUCAAUAAACUUAAUGUCAGUAUUGUUCUCAUCAACCCCUUCACAUAAAGUGAUCAAUGUUAAAUCUCAAAACGGUAAAUUGUGUGUGCUGUGAAAUCUCCCGGUCCCGCUCAUUUUUCACCACCCCCCUUAUCCCGGUCUCCCUACUCGUCCUCCUCGCUCUCCCCAAAGCAAGUCGUUUUCCAAACAGUAAGAGUAGCGUAUUGUUUAACGUAGUUUCAAGUCGUAUAUUUAUAAUAAUAACUUAAACAUAAUAUUUAGAAAUGUUUAAUAGUGUAUAGUGGUAUAAAUAAAAAUAUAUAUAAAUCUGUUAAACGUUUGUGUCUUUACAACAAACUUGCGUUGGCCCACAUAUCCCACAGAUCUACUUACUAAUAAUUAUUAUGUG